rnacentral:rRNA from 1 species
ACCCGCACAAGCAGCGGAGCAUGUGGUUUAAUUCGAAGCAACGCGAAGAACCUACAGAUCUUGACAUCCAAUUGACCAUCUUUUUAAUCGAGAUUUUGCCUUCGGGUACAAUUGAGACAGGUGGUGCAUGGUUGUCGUCAGCUCGUGUCGUGAGAUGUUGGGUUAAGUCCCGUAACGAGCGCAACCCUUGUCCUUAGUUACCAGCACGUUAUGGUGGGCACUCUAAGGAGACUGCCGGUGACAAACCGGAGGAAGGCGGGGAUGACGUCAAAUCAGCACGGCCCUUACGUCCAGGGCUACACACGUGCUACAAUGGCCGAUACAGAGGGCAGCUACCUGGUGACAGGAUGCAAAUCUCCAAAGUCGGUCUCAGUUCGGAUCGGAGUCUGCAACCCGACUCCGUGAAGUUGGAUUCGCUAGUAAUCGCGCAUCAGCCAUGGCGCGGUGAAUACGUUCCCGGGCCUU